AAUUGCAGAAUCCCGUGAACCAUCGAGUUUUUGAACGCAAGUUGCGCCCGAAGCCUUUAGGCCGAGGGCACAUCUGCCUGGGCGUCACGCAUCGUCGCCACCCCCAAGCAAACCUUGAGAGUGGCGGAAAUUGGUCUCCCGUGUAAAGUCCCAGCGGCAACGCGGUUGGCCUAAAUCGAAUCCUCUAUUUGGGAAAGUCACGACAAGUGGUGGUUGAAAACUUCAACUCGAUCGAAGUCGUGGAUGCACCGUAUAAAGGAGAUCAAAAGACCCAAGAGCCGCCAUAGUGUUGGCACUCGACAAUGACCCCAGGUCAGGUGG
rnacentral:rRNA from 1 species